rnacentral:misc_RNA from 1 species
AUCUUUUUUUUUAUUCAUUUAUGAAUAUGAAAAAUUUUUCUUUUAUUAAAGAGUGGGGGUUUUAAAUAUAUUCGCAAAACCUCGCUUUCGCUACGGUUUGCUUAAAAAAAUCAUUAAUGAUCCUUCCGCAGGUUCACCUACGGAAA